AUAUCGGGUAAAACCGAUAACCCGAACCGUUAAUUACUUAUUGGGUUAUCGGUAUUGGGUUAUUGGGCUAAUGGUUCGGUAACGGGUUAAAAAAAAUUUCUUAUUGGGUUAUCGGUUCGGGCUCGGUUUAUCAAAUCUGUUAUUGGGUAAACCGAUAACCCAAUAAGGGUUUACUAAUUUACUAGUAUACCCUUUAGUCUAGUAAUACUAGGGUUUCAUUUUCAUUAGUCUGUCCGCCUCCUCUCAGCCUCACUAACUCCUUUCCUUUCCUCAGUUUCCUGUUCUUGAAGUCCUCACUCCUCAGUUAAGCUCACUCCGGGGCAUAUGUGUUUAUGUUUAUUAGGAGGCUCUUCAAUUUUUUCUUUUUUACUUUGAGAAAAUGUUGUUCUUGGUGAUUCAAAGAGAUAGAAUGUGGAUAGCAUGCUGCAUUAUAUGAUAGGGCUGCUUCUCUCAUCUGUGCAAGAAUGAUGAGGAGGUUGUUGCUGUUAUUGCGCAUGAGCUGGGGCACUGGAAACUUAAUCACACGAUGUACUCAUUCAUAGCUGUCCAGCAUUUCCAGGUACAUAUUUCUGACACCAUGUGUUGAUGUUAAGCUUGAGGUUGGAGUUUGAAAUGAAUAAAACGAAUGCUCGUCUGCUUCACAAUAUCUAUGCUCAAGAUGUAGUAAUAGGAUGAAUGAUAAAAUAGUUUGUGAUUGUUUAAGCUCAUCCUAAUUGUAUUUACUUUGUGUGAAUCGGAACGUACUCAGACGCGAUUUUGGGACUGUUAAAUAACACGGUGCUAGAUCGAUUAGACAUGUUUUCAUAUGUUUUAGCAAUCUAGUUUGGUUGGUAAUGAUUAUAUAACACAGAACAUUAGCGGGCGUUUGUAUGUA